rnacentral:rRNA from 1 species
UGGCGCUGAAGCGGGCGGCCGACACCACGCCGUCUGGUAAAGAAUGAUGAUCAGAUGAGUAGGAGGGCGUGGCGGUUGUAUCGAAGGGUAUGUGCAGACAUGCCUGGAACGGCCGCUAGUGCAGAUCUUGGUGGUAGUAGCAAGUAUUCAAGCGAGAUCCUUGAAGGGCGAAGCGGGGAAGGGUUCCACGCGAACAUUGAUUGGGCGUGGGUGAGUCGUUCCUAAGUCGAGUGGCGAUUGCUAAGUAGCGGCGAAAGGGAAGCUGGUUGACAUUCCAGCACACGGAUGUGGAGGCGGUGACGCGUAUUGGGACGAACACGCUGGCGGUGGCGCUGGGCAGAGUUGUCUUUUCUGUUUGACUUUGUGCGCGCGGUGUGGAAUCCGCUUGUCGGGAGAAACACGCGUGUCGAGGCAGAGCGCCGGGGCUUUUCCGGCGUCCAGCUCGCCACCGACGGCCCUUGAAACUUUGUCUGCUUAAAUCCACGCCGUGGCGUACCGAUCACCGCAUCAGGUCCCCAAGGUGAACAGCCUCUGCUCUAUAUGAACAAUGCGGUAAGGGAAGUCGGCAAAUUAGACCCGUAACUUUGGGAUAAGGGUUGGCUCUAGUGCUGCGUGGGAGUGGUUGCCCGGGGUUGGGGGGGUUGCCGAGGCCGGCUUGGCGCGGUGCCGGCUGCUGAGGUGAUUUUUCUGUCUUCUGG